GUCCCUGUGGAGCAAUGGAUAGCGCGUUGGACUUUUAAUCCAAAGGUUGGGGAUUCGAAUCCCACCUGGGAUG